ACUGAAUAUCAUACAUAUUCACACAUAUACUUGAAAUACCUAAAUUUCUAAGCAAUUUGCUUUGAGAUUUUAAGAGUUCGAGUUUAGACAAAUUUUAAAGUUUAUUUUUCUGUUCUUGUGUCGGUUUCUGUGGCUGUUUGAGCAAUUUGGGGGUUGAGGAAAGGAGGUCUAGAAAUCUUCCAAGUCCAAAUCUCGAUUCAAAGGCUGCACAUAAGAAAGGUAAUUCCCCUUUCCCUUUAUUUUUGCAUUUUUGUUAUGUUUCUUUUAGUUAUUUGUAGUUGAUUAUGUGUUAGCUUAGUGUGUUUUUCUUAAAUUUUAUUAAAUACAUGUUUGGUUCUAUUUCUGCCUAUUGCUUUCUUGGGCAUUUGCUGUAUUCCUGUUAUGAUCCUGUUAGCAUAUUUUUUGUAGUAUUGUAAAGUGGUGCUAUAAAUGGUUUAAAUGUAGUAGAGUUAAAUGUCUUAGCCUGCCUUGAAUCAUGCCAUUUGUCUUGAUAGUUUGAUCAUGUCCAAAAUGCUUACCCCCCUAUGUCAUAGUGUUUUAUGUGUUUGGUCUGAAUCUCAUUUGGUUUAAAUCUAACAAGGACCAA